GGGGGGGGGGUGAAAGGCGGAGCAUCUUACCGGCGGGAGGGGAUGAAUCCCGCCUAGCCGCUCCAUAUCAGAUCGCCGCCGUACUUGGAGUCCGAUCGGCGCCGCCGUUCUUGGUGUCCGACCGCCGCUGCCGUCCACUUCGGUUCCUCUCCGGUAACCUCCGUUCUAUCUCGCCCUUUCUCUUCUACCCCCGUCUCACCGCCGCAUCUCCGCACCACAGCCGUCAGUUAGAUGUGGUUCGAUCUGUUGCCGGACACUGUGAAACGCGCGAUGGUCCGCACAGGACGUUGUCUACAUGAUGCUCCAGAUCAGGGAUUAACAAAGAAGCUUAUCCAUCUUGUUUCUGCAAGUGAACAUUCUGGCAUUAUCUCCAAGUAAUUCAUUCAGUGGAGAGCUCCCACCUUCUUGGGAUCCUAUAGCAACACCAAAAUUCGGCUGGGUGCAGGAGGCAUCCACGUUGCGCAGAACCUCGUCCCCAAGACCCACCGCAGCUACCUCGACAUCAAAGUUCAGGAGAUCGUUGACAUCAGCAACAAUUUCUACCAGUGACGGCACCUGUGAUGUGUGCUCACCUCUGAUGUUUGUCAAAAGACUGUUUGUUGUUGACCGGUGUAACCUGUUAUGAUAUUUUGUAGUGUCAUGGUUGCUCAGAAGUUGCAAGGUUCACAUGUUCUGUUGUCUGUGAUGAGAAUUGUGACAACAUGAGUUCCUUUUCCAGGAGUCUACUUUAUUUAGUCUUAGCAUAAAGAUUUGUAUCCUGGGUUUUGGACUUCUAGUCUCACUGCCGUAUUGGACCUGAUACAUAUGGACAUACAUAGUGAUAUAAAGGUUGUCAAAACCUCAAAUAAUGUUUAGUUCAGUUUUAAUGUUA